ACGCUCACUUCGAUAUCAUAUUACACGGAACGCAAAUUUGAAACAGGUCUUGAGCCGGUGAUUCACUAUGGGAUUCGGGAAAACAAAGGACAACGAUGGCCACUUUUGGAGGGUUUGUCUUUUAUAUCCCGACUUCGUAUGGGUAUAUAGGGGACAAAACCUCACUAUGUUUUAUGUCAAAAGCUAUCUCUUGUUAUGUGUAAAUAACUUAGAACUAUGCUAUGUCAAACGUUGUUGAAAACUUGUAAUCUUUUGUUGAAAACUAUAUAUCUAUGGCAUCGUUGUUGGUUCA